AUUGAACGCUGGCGGCAGGCCUAACACAUGCAAGUCGAGCGAGCGGCGGACGGGUGAGUAAUGUAUGGGGACUGCCCGAUAGAGGGGGAUAACUACUGGAAACGGUAGCUAAUACCGCAUACUAUCGGAUAACCUAAAGUGGAUUAGCUAGUAGGUGAGGUAAUGGCUCACCUAGGCGACGAUCCCUAACGGGUAUGAGAGGAUGAUCAGCCACCCUGAGAUUUGGACACGGCCCAGACUCCUACGGCGGCAGCAGUGGGAAAUAUUGCACAAUGGGCGCAAGCCUGAUGCAGCCAUGCCGCGUGUAUGAAGAAGGCCCUAGGUUUGUAAAGUACUUUCAGUCGGGAGGCGUUAACGACAGAAGAAGCCCCGGCUAACUCCGUGCCAGCAGCCGCGGUAAUAC
rnacentral:rRNA from 1 species